CCUGUUCCGGUCCUUGGUGGUUUGCCGUUCUGGGGAGUCCCUUCCGCAGGGCUGAGGCGUAGGUGACAGGGGGGAGUAGGCGUGAAAACAGUCGUCCUCACGGCAGAGAUUUGGAUCCGCGGCUGGGGACGCCGCCCGGGCUGCCCUGCGCGGGGGACGGGACAGCGAUCGCCGGCUCGGGUGUCCGCUCCGCCCACCGAGUCCGACGGCGGCGGCCGCGCGCAGGGACCCGGCUCAGAGUCCCAGGACUGCAGAAGCACUGAGGGAAACAACACGGGUUCAGAGGCAAGGUGCCAGGAGGAGCAAUCAUGUGAUAAAGGAUUAGAACUUUCAGUCCCUAUUCCCAACACCCUACCUUCAGGGAAGGAGAGAAGCUGGAGGUUGCAUCAUCCAAUGGCCCGUGACUUAGGCAAUCAUGACUUUGUAAUAAAGCCUUCAUAAAGACCCAAGAGGACAGUCUUUUGGUCCUUUUGGAGAGGUUUCACACUUGGAGAACCAGGACGUUUCCAUGUGCCACCAAGCCAGGCCCUAAGCUCCAUGAGAACAGAAGGACCUCAUUGAGUGAUGUAAGAAUUCUGGAGAUGGAUAGUCUUGACAGUUGCACUAUAGUGUGAAUGUACUUACUGCCACUGAAUUGUACAAUU